rnacentral:sRNA from 1 species
CGGCCAUGGAGCCCGCCCAGAAUUCCAUAUGAAUUGUUGCGUCGAAGAACACUGGUGAACGAGCCGAUAGGCAGAGGGGAAGAAAUCUUGGAUAUGCCAAAUACGCAACCAUAGUCACAUCGCAUAUCUUUCUCAAGGAACUAACGGGAAACGUCCUGGAGGAACUUCAUUCGCCAGCCUCACCAUUUCCCGGCGGACCGUGCUGUGGGUGCCAUCGCAUCCAACGAUGAUAUCCGCUGAGUACAGUUCCCCAUCUUUCGUUGUGACAGUGACGCCAUUUUGCAAGAGGGCAACAGUAC